AUUAGAUACCCUGGGUAGUCCACGCAGUAAACGAUGAAUACUAAUUGUCCGGGCAGAGAGAUGCCUGGGUGAUACAGCGAAAGCGUUAAGUAUUCCACCUGGGGAGUACGCCGGCAACGGUGAAACUCAAAGGAAUUGACGGGGGCCCGCACAAGCGGAGGAACAUGUGGUUUAAUUCGAUGAUACGCGAGGAACCUUACCCGGGCUCAAACGACACAGGAAUACUUUUGAAAGGAGGUAGCCAGCAACGGUCUGUGUCGAGGUGCUGCAUGGUUGUCGUCAGCUCGUGCCGUGAGGUGUCGGCUUAAGUGCCAUAACGAGCGCAACCCCUACCGCCAGUUGCCAGCAGGUAAAGCUGGGGACUCUGGCGGGACUGCCGGCGCAAGCUGCGAGGAAGGCGGGGAUGACGUCAAAUCAGCACGGCCCUUACGUCCGGGGCGACACACGUGUUACAAUGGCAGGUACAGCGGGAAGCCACCUGGCGACAGGGCGCGGAACCCGAAAACCUGUCUCAGUUCGGAUUGGAGUCUGCAACCCGACUCCAUGAAGCUGGAUUCGCUAGUAAUCGCGCAUCAGCCACGGCGCGGUGAAUACGUUCCCGGGCCUUGUACACACCGCCCGUCAAGCCAUGGAAGCCGGGAGUGCCUGAAGUGCGUGACCGCAAGGAGCGUCCUAAGGCAAUACCGGUGACUGGGGCUAAGUCGUAACAAGGUAGC
rnacentral:rRNA from 1 species